CUACACGACCGUACCGCAAACCGACACUGGUGCGCGAGAUGAGUAUUCUAAGGCGCUUGAGAGAACUCAGGAGAAGGAACUCGGCAAAUUGACACCGUAACUUCGGAAGAAGGUGUGCCUUUAGUAGGUGAAGGGAUUUACUCCUGGAGCCCAAUGAGGUUGCAAAAAAUCGGUGGCUGCGACUGUUUAAUAAAAACACAGCGCCCUGCAAACACGAAAGUGGACGUAUAGGGUGUGACGCCUGCCCGGUGCUGGAAGAUUAAAUGAUGGGGUGCAAGCUCUUGAUUGAAGUCCCAGUAAACGGCGGCCGUAACAAUAACGGUCCUAAGGUAGCGAAAUUCCUUGUCGGGUAAGUUCCGACCUGCACGAAUGGCGUAACGAUGGCCACACUGUCUCCUCCUGAGACUCAGCGAAGUUGAAAUGUUUGUGAUGAUGCAAUCUCCCCGCGGAAAGACGGAAAGACCCUAUGAACCUUUACUGUAGCUUUGUAUUGGACUUUGAACAGAUCUGUGUAGGAUAGGUGGGAGGCUUUGAAGUAGGGUCGCUAGAUCUUAUGGAGCCAACGUUGAAAUACCACCCUGGUGUGUUUGAGGUUCUAACCUAGGCCCGUUAUCCGGGCUGGGGACAGUGCAUGGUAGGCAGUUUGACUGGGGCGGUCUCCUCCCAAAGCGUAACGGAGGAGUUCGAAGGUACGCUAGUUACGGUCGGACAUCGUGACGAUAGUGCAAUGGCAUAAGCGUGCUUAACUGCGAGACUGACAAGUCGAGCAGAUGCGAAAGCAGGACAUAGUGAUCCGGUGGUUCUGUAUGGAAGGGCCAUCGCUCAACGGAUAAAAGGUACUCUGGGGAUAACAGGCUGAUACCGCCCAAGAGUUCAUAUCGACGGCGGUGUUUGGCACCUCGAUGUCGGCUCAUCUCAUCCUGGGGCUGUAGCCGGUCCCAAGGGUAUGGCUGUUCGCCAUUUAAAGAGGUACGUGAGCUGGGUUUAAAACGUCGUGAGACAGUUUGGUCCCUAUCUUCCGUGGGCGCUGCAGAUUUGAGGAAGCCUGCUCCUAGUACGAGAGGACCGGAGUGGACACACCUCUGGUGUAUCGGUUGUCACGCCAGUGGCAUUGCCGAGUAGCUAAGUGUGGAAGAGAUAACCGCUGAAAGCAUCUAAGCGGGAAACUCGUUUCAAGAUGAGAUCUGCCGGGGCCUUGAGCCCCCUAAAGAGUCGUUCAAGACCAGGACGUUGAUAGGUCAGGUGUGGAAGCGCAGUAAUGCGUUAAGCUAACUGAUACUAAUUGCUCGUGCGGCUUGACCCC
rnacentral:rRNA from 1 species